rnacentral:rRNA from 1 species
UAGGGAAUCUUCGGCAAUGGGGGCAACCCCUGACCGAGCAACGCCGCGUGAGUGAAGAAGGUUUUCGGAUCGUAAAGCUCUGUUGUAAGAGAAGAACGUGUGUGAGAGUGGAAAGUUCACACAGUGACGGUAACUUACCAGAAAGGGACGGCUAACUACGCGCCAG